rnacentral:rRNA from 1 species
CCUACGGGUGGCUGCAGUGGGGAAUAUUGCACAAUGGGCGCAAGCCUGAUGCAGCCAUGCCGCGUGUGUGAAGAAGGCCUUCGGGUUGUAAAGCACUUUCAGCGGGGAGGAAGGCGUUAAGGUUAAUAACCUUGGCGAUUGACGUUACCCGCAGAAGAAGCACCGGCUAACUCCGUGCCAGCAGCCGCGGUAAUACGGAGGGUGCAAGCGUUAAUCGGAAUUACUGGGCGUAAAGCGCACGCAGGCGGUCUGUCAAGUCGGAUGUGAAAUCCCCGGGCUCAACCUGGGAACUGCAUUCGAAACUGGCAGGCUAGAGUCUUGUAGAGGGGGGUAGAAUUCCAGGUGUAGCGGUGAAAUGCGUAGAGACCUGGAGGAAUACCGGUGGCGAAGGCGGCCCCCUGGACAAAGACUGACGCUCAGGUGCGAAAGCGUGGGGAGCAAACAGGAUUAGAUACCCGAGUAGUC